rnacentral:rRNA from 1 species
CCUACGGGAGGCAGCAGUGGGGAAUAUUGCACAAUGGGGGCAACCCUGAUGCAGCAACGCCGCGUGAAGGAAGAAGUCUUUCGGUAUGUAAACUUCUAUCAGCAGGGAAGAAGAUGACGGUGCCUGCCUAAGAAUCCCCGGCUACCUACGUCCCAGCAGCCGCGGUAAUACGUAGUGGGCAAGCGUUGUCCGGAUUUACUGGGUGUAAAGGGAGCGUAGGCGGCGGUGCAAGUCAGAAGUGAAAGCCCGGGGCUCAACUCCGGGACUGCUUUUGAAACUGUAUGGCUAGAUUGCAGGAGAGGCAAGUGGAAUUCCUAGUGUAGCGGUGAAAUGCGUAGAUAUUAGGAGGAACACCAGUGGCGAAGGCGGUGUGCUGGACUGUAAAUGACGCUGAGGCUCGAAAGCGUGGGGAGCAAACAGGAUUAGAUACCCUUGUAGUC